AAAUCAUGUUUCUGUUUUGAAAACAUAGCCGUUCCUUGGCGUUGGCUGAGUUCCCCCUCACGUGGUGGUUUAGCGUGAAGUAAACCCUAAACUUUACCCCAGGAGAUACCCUACGCGCCUCUCCGUUCGAGGUAAGAAUAUAAUGGGGUUUACCGUGCCCCUCUAAAAGGCUGGUCCACAGAAACCCCCUACUGCGGUGAUUAAUUAAUAUAUAAUCCACCAUAUAAUAAAACUCAAUAACAUGAUAUGGUAAUUUUGUAAUUCGCAGUUUUUCAAGGCAACCAAACAAUUCACAUUUCAAUACAAUUGCCAACUAGCCAAUCAUGCUCGAUUUAUCAUAAGCCAGUUAAUUUAAACAAUCAAAUUGCCACAAUUAACAGUCUCC
rnacentral:lncRNA from 1 species